rnacentral:rRNA from 1 species
AUUGAACGCUGGCGGCAUGCUUUACACAUGCAAGUCGAACGGCAGCGCGGGCUUCGGCCUGGCGGCGAGUGGCGAACGGGUGAGUAAUGCAUCGGAACGUGCCCAGUAGUGGGGGAUAGCCCGGCGAAAGCCGGAUUAAUACCGCAUACGACCUGAGGGUGAAAGCGGGGGACCGAAAGGCCUCGCGCUAUUGGAGCGGCCGAUGUCGGAUUAGCUAGUUGGUGGGGUAAAGGCUUACCAAGGCGACGAUCCGUAGCUGGUCUGAGAGUACGACCAGCCACACUGGGACUGAGACACGGCCCAGACUCCUACGGGAGGCAGCAGUGGGGAAUUUUGGACAAUGGGGGCAACCCUGAUCCAGCCAUGCCGCGUGCGGGAAGAAGGCCUUCGGGUUGUAAACCGCUUUUGUUCGGGAAGAAAUCCUCUGGGCUAAUACCCCGGGGGGAUGACGGUACCGGAAGGAUAAGCACCGGCUAACUACGUG